UACGUAGGUGGCAAGCGUUGUCCGGAUUUAUUGGGUUUAAAGGGUGCGUAGGCGGUCCUAUAAGUCAGUGCUGAAAUCUCCCGGCUUAACCGGGAGGGUGCGGCGGAAACUGGAGUGCUUGAGGGUGGGAGAGGUAAGCGGAAUUCCUGGUGUAGCGGUGAAAUGCGUAGAUAUCUGGAGGAACACCGGUGGCGAAGGCGGCAUCCUGGACUACUACUGACGCUGAGGGAGCGAAAGCGUGGGGAGCGAACAGG
rnacentral:rRNA from 1 species